CUAUCACAGUAACUGGGUUCAGUGAUGGAUGGAGUGUGGACUGAAAGGAGGCCAGGGGAAAAGUCAUACGAAGAGACGCGUGGGACCCAGGGGAGAAGCUGGCAAAGCCACAAAAAGAGUUCAAUUAUAUAAGGACAGCUGAGAAUCUGACAUAUUUUCAGAAAGGUGAUCUGGGACAGUGACAAGAGGAUUAAAGAAGCUACAAGUAUGUUCACCUGAAGCAGCAACAACCACAAAAUGUGCAAGUGGCACUGGAUUUGGAUUUGGGGCAGAAUAGGAAUCUUUAUUGCCAUUAUGCCCAGAUGCUUCCAUAUCAUGAAGGACCCAAGAUAACAAAAAGAAUGACUUGGGAAGCUGGGUGUUGAAGUUAGCAGAGUCUCAGUCAACCUGGAACCCUAUUUGGAGAAGGUGGUCCAGCCCUUCCGACACAGUGUCCUCUUUCCUUGGCUCUGUGGAUGUGAAAUAAGAUGGAGGCAAGAGUAGAGACAACUAAUGGUAUUGCUUCGGUCUUACUCCUGAUGGAAGAAAAUACUUCUUUAGUUUCCUCGCUGCCUUCUGACAAAGGGGGUGAGGUCCUGAUCCUGUGUCCCUGCAAUGCCUGUAAUUGCUGUGGAUAUUAGGAGUGCAGCAAAGUGCAGAGAUGGAAAGCACUCAGCCCAUGGAGCUGACCAUUGAGCUGCUGAACCAACCAUGGAACCACCCUGCAUCUGUACUUAGUGUUCCCUAACAUAAUUAAUGUCCACUUUGGGUUGUGUAGUCAAUGACUUAAAGCUGAAAACUUCUCAAAUUAGGGAGUAAUCAUUAUAAUAAUGCCAUUGAUGUUAAUGGCUUCUGAGUAAUUUGUUCAUUCAAUGACAAAAUGAUACGAUAAAACUCUGAGUCAUAUUGAACAAUUAACCAGGGCCUGAUUAAAUCUGCUUUAGUUUCCAGGGAAAUAACAUGGAAACGAAGAUAUUAAAUUGUCCAUCAGUAAUGUGGGGAUAUUUUUUCACAUAAGGAAUCAAUUUGUGUUGCCAUGAUGCUGACUUCAGUUGAUGCCUUUAUUGAGCACUGGCAGUGCUCUCUAAAUGAUCCACUGAAAUGGAUACAUUGGGCAGUAGGUACUUUGCAAAGAGCAAAUGACCCUGGUUGACUUAGUCAUUGCCAUGCCAGUAGCAAAAUAAAAACUGUAUUUUCUCUUUCAUAAGAUUGCUCUGAAAAUAAAAGACAUCUUGAAAUUUUGACAUACCUUCAAGAAACUGGGGCUAUCAUCAAAUUUAAUAUUAAAUUAAGGAAUUUUAUAAAUGAUAUCAUCUUUGAAUUCUUGAAAUACAUGAGCCCUCAUGAGACCUGCGAGACCAUGUUGGCUGUAUAUCUACUAAUAUAACAAAGAAAGCUUAUUUGGAAUUUUGCAAUAAGCAAAUAUCUAGGUAUUUCUUCUGAUUCUUUAAAUAAAGCUAAAUUUAAAUCUUUUGCACACUCAUCUUAGGAGAAUACAUGAGUUCACAGAGGAAAAUUAAGGCUUUCCAAGAUGAUUUAUUAAUAAGUUGAUGAUUUAUCUUAACAGAUAUUUGCUAUCAUUGUUUUGUAACACAUAAUAAAAUUCUGCAGAAACCAGGCAUUGUUUUCCUUUGUUUUAUAUUGUUUCCAGAACUUCUUCUAUGAAGAAACAAUGUAACCUCCUAGUUUAGGCACCACAUAAUUUAUGUUAUGAAAUAGAAAUAUUUUGAAAUGUACAGUCUGAAACUGAAAAUUCAGCCUCAGCUCGACAAUUUAUUAGUUACUUAUCCUUUCCAGUUUCCACCUUUGCAUAUGCUUGGGUAAUCAUGAUAAUAAUAUCUUACCCUAAAGGCUCGGUUUAAGGAUCAAGUGAGGAAAUAUGUGUAAAGCUUUUGUAAUUGUUUCAGUUCUGUAAAUAUGUGUUUCUUUAUGUUCUUUUGUUUUUAUGACUAUUAUAAUACCCAUGAAAUAAAUGUCAUGAGAGUUGAUAUUUUUGUGUAGUGAGAAAUUUAAUAAUCAGAUUGUCUUCUGUA